rnacentral:sRNA from 1 species
CCACAUCCUGGACUCUUAAUUUCCCCUCUCUCCACUAGCAUGGAGACUCAGUGGAGUGGUUGACUCAUGGAAAGGGUGAGCCGGAUGGUGGCACUGGAUCUGACGUUGAUCCUCUUUUCCCUCCCAACCCCCUGUCCCCCAGACGAUGCAGGGUGAGGGCCCCCAGCUGCUUCUCUCAGAGGCUGUGAGCCGGGCAGCUAAGGCAGCCGGAGCUCGGCCCCUGACGAGCCCCGAGAGCCUGAGCCGGGACCUGGAGGCACCAGAGGUUCAGGAGAGCUACAGGCAGCAGCUCCGGUCUGAUAUACAAAAACGACUGCAGGAAGACCCCAACUACAGUCCCCAGCGCUUCCCCAAUGCCCAGCGGGCCUUUGCUGAUGAUCCUUAGCUCUUUCUUUGCUCUAUGGCCCUUCCUCAUCAGGGGACCGUUUCCCCCCUCUUCCUUCACAGUAUUUAAGAAAUAAAAGUCGGAUUUUUCUGGCUGCUUUCUCUCUA